AACAUUUACAAUCCACUUCUAUGCAAGGCAGUCUUGUGCUAAAGAAUUGCUAAAAGAGACAGUGCCUUUUGAAUGCACCAUAUGUGUUAUUCAAAAGCAGUGGCAAGUCGAAGCUCCUAUCUUAAUCCUCGCUUGUUAUUAUGGAAGCCUGGAUCCAACUUUUGAAGGAUAAGAGAUUUCACAGAUCAUUGAUUACAAAGGCAAUAGCCAACACCAACACCCCAGACAUGAGAGGGAUGCUACCUUCGAUGCAGCCUCCCUGCCCGGCCCCAGUCAAGCCACCGAUGACUGCUACUACCUGAGCAAGCCCAGGAGUGGGACUGGUGGCUCUGUAAGAAGAGGAGGAGGCACCUGAGCUGGCACACUCAGCUCCUUCACCAUGUGAUGCCCUGCACCACCUCAAGACUGCAGAGUCCUUACCAACAAGACGGCACUCACCAAAUGCAGCCCUUAGACCCUGGACUUCUCAGUCUUUUUAACUCUGAAGACUUCGCCUUAUAUGUCAAUAGAGAAAGUAAGAAUGGCCAGUGGGAAAUUCUUCAGCCCUUCACCACCGCUUCUACAUACAAAGAAGAUUCUAAAGAAAAUGACCUCAAUCAGAUGGCAGCAUAGGAGUUUUUGGUGCUCAUCCCCUAACGGAAGCAUCAGUUUGAAUAAGCAUCCAUGCAGGCUGUACCUUCAUGAGAGCUAAGGAUUCCAGGUGAGAGAUUAUAUCACCUCAAUUGAACACAGCAAUAAGAAAAGAAACACUGAAGAUAGCAGAG